rnacentral:rRNA from 1 species
CAUUAGUGCUUGCACUAGAUGACGACCGGCGCACGGGUGCGUAACGCGUAUAGAAUCUGCCUUUUACAGGGGGAUAGCCUUUAGAAAUGAAGAUUAAUAUCCCAUAGUAUUGCGAAGUGGCAUCACUUUGUAAUUAAAGAUUUAUCGGUAAAAGAUGACUAUGCGUCCUAUUAGUUAGUUGGUAAGGUAACGGCUUACCAAGACUUCGAUAGGUAGGGGUCCUGAGAGGGAGAUCCCCCACACUGGUACUGAGACACGGACCAGACUCCUACGGGAGGCAGCAGUGAGGAAUAUUGGGCAAUGGAGGUAACUCUGACCCAGCCAUGCCGCGUGCAGGAAGACUGCCCUAUGGGUUGUAAACUGCUUUUAUACAGGAAGAAACACUGCUACGUGUAGCAGCUUGACGGUACUGUAAGAAUAAGGACCGGCUAACUCCGUGCCAGCAGCCGCGGUAAUACGGAGGGUCCGAGCGUUAUCCGGAAUCAUUGGGUUUAAAGGGUCCGCAGGCGGUCAAUUAAGUCAGAGGUGAAAUCCCAUAGCUUAACUAUGGAACUGCCUUUGAUACUGGUUGACUUGAGUCAUAUGGAAGUAGAUAGAAUGUGUAGUGUAGCGGUGAAAUGCAUAGAUAUUACACAGAAUACCGAUUGCGAAGGCAGUCUACUACGUAUGUACUGACGCUCAUGGACGA